rnacentral:rRNA from 1 species
GACGAACGCUGGCGGCGUGCCUAAUACAUGCAAGUAGGACGCAGUUGCGAACGGGUGAGUAACGCGUAGGUAACUACCUAGUAGAGGGGGAUAACUAUUGGAAACGAUAGCUAAUACCGCAUACUAGUAGAUGGACCUGCGUUGUAUUAGCAAGUAGGUAGGGUAAUUGACUACCUAGGCAACGAUCCAUAGCCGACCGGAGAGGGUGACCGGCCAGACUGGUCCUGAGCCCCGGCCCUGAGUCCUACGGUAGGUCGCAGUAGGGAAUCUUCGGCAAUGGGGGGAACCCUGACCGAGCAACGCCGCGUGAGUGAAGAAGGUUUUCGGAUCGUAAAGCUCUGUUGUUAAGGAAGCGGUACUUAACCAGAAAGGGACGGCUAACUACGUGCCAGCCGCCGCGGUAAUAC